rnacentral:rRNA from 1 species
ACUACGGGUGGCAGCAGUGAGGAAUAUUGGUCAAUGGUCGGGAGACUGAACCAGCCAAGCCGCGUGAGGGAGGAAGGUACAGAGUAUCGUAAACCUCUUUUGUCAGGGAACAAAGACUGGGACGCGUCCCCGGAUGAGUGUACCUGAAGCAAAAGCAUCGGCUAACUCCGUGCCAGCAGCCGCGGUAAUACGGAGGACGCGAGCGUUAUCCGGAUUUAAUGGGUUUAAAGGGUGCGCGGGCGGUCUGGUAAGUCAGGGGUCAAAGCCCGGGGCACAACCCCGGCCCGCCGUUGACACUGGCAGUCUCGAGUUGGAGAGAAGUAUGCGGAAUGCGCGGUGUAGCGGUGAAAUGCAUAGAUAUCGCGCAGAACUCCGAUUGCGAAGGCAGCAUGCCGGCUCCACACUGACGCUGAGGCACGAAAGCGUGGGUAUCGAACAGGAUUAGAUACCCCUGUAGUC